UUACUUUAUACCUUGAUGUACGACCUCAUUCGCGAUUGACGUAAUUCCUUUGAUCAUUGCGGGUACGACACAUUUCCGUUUGAUAAACGGUAUUUGGACGGUCGUGUGCCGUCGACCCAUCUUUCUCCACGUAUAAUUUUAUACAUCCAUGGAACGGAAAUAUACUCAUCACGCCAGAUAGUGUAUUGUCAUUUGAUACGUUAACAAAUUCCCAUUCGCCUCCCAUUGGACAUUUCACCGUGAUGCGUAGACGGUCUUCCACUCGAUCAUAAUUAGUAACAUUGUAUAUUUCCAUCUCUAAAUCCCGAAAUGAGAUAUUGCGUCGGACCGCAACCAAUUCUUUACGGCCACCAAUAUAUCGUGGUACAUUAUUGUUCUCGACAAAAUUUCCGUCCCAAUGGAUAUAGAAAGGAACAAUGUCGCCAGAUAUAGAGUUCUAAAUUUAUAUAUUAACAUAUAAAAAAUUAUUAAACUCAAGACAUAUCACAUUUCUAACAUAUAACAAAAGAGAGAGUAAAAAGAUGGAAUUACUAUUGUACAAGCACGGUCGGCGUGACUACUUUGCCAAUUAAGAACGCAGGAAUGAUCUGUGACAAAGAGACCGAGAACAAUCAGUGAAAGGGGGGGAGGGUUGCUAGUGGACAGGCUUCUCACAGUGAGAAGCCUCACACAGUGAGAAGCCAUUGUGGGGAGAGGGGCAGUAGGAAGGCUUCUCACUGUGAGAAGCUACAGAGUCUUCUCACAGGUGGGGGGUGGGGGCUUCUCACUGUGGGAAGCCUCACAGUGGCUUCUCACAGUGAGAAGCCACUGUGAAAGUGCUGGGGGGGGGGAGGAUUCUCACUGUGAGAAGCCUCAAACCCCCCGUGCCUCACAGUGGUUUCUCACUGUGAGAAGCCCCCCCGUGCCUCACAGUGAGAAGCCUCACCGGUGGCUUCUCACAGUGAGAAGCCUCACCGGUGCCUCACAGUGAGAAGCCUCACCGGGGCCACUGUGAGAAUCCACGAAUAACCUGUGACAAAGAGAAUGGCGCAUGCGAGGGCAUGCGAGGCAUCUUCAAAUUCCACGAAUUCCACCGGGUCCGGUACAUCUUCGUUGUUGGCAUUUGAGUUUUCAAUCCAUUCAACACCUUCAUCUCGAAUGGCGCAUGCGAGGGCAUUCAAGCCACCGUCAUGAUCAGGAUCCAAAGAACACGCAACAAAGGACUCCUCGUCAUCACUAGAAUCAGCAUCAAUUCGCCCUUGAUCCUCUUCAUCAGUUUCACUAACAUACUCCUCAUCACUUCUACUUACGUCCAAUAGAUCAGUUGUAGUCACUCCCCGAUUGGUCCAUUCACGAUGAGUACAUGAUGGAUCUUCAUUUUGAUAAAGAGGCCAAGCCGACCAUUGAUGAAUACUAGAUGGUCCUGGACCUUCAUCUACAUAAGAAGGGUUAGUAUUCUUACUUCCCAAGCCGGCCAUUCAUGAACACUAGAUGAUCCUGGACCUUCAUCUACAUAGGGAGGGUUAGUAUUUCUUUCUUCCCAAGCCGGCCAUUCAUGAACACUAGAUGAUCCUGGACCUUCAUCUACAUAGGGAGGGCUAGUAUUUCUUUCUUCCCAAGCCGGCCAUUGAUGAACACUACAUGAUGGACCUUCAUUUUGAUAAGGAGGGAUAGUGGUUCUGACUUCCCAAUCCGUCCAUUCGUGAACAUAAGAUGAUGGUCGUGGACUUUGAUAAGGAGGGACAGUAGACCUGUAGAGAUAUAUAAGAUUAACUAUUCACAUUGAUUUUUUAUGUAACUAAAUCAUACAAUCACCUACCACUCAUUUUGAUCAACCAACGGAGACGGAUCCAUCACAGCAGAUGGCAAUGCUGCACUAACUGGCUGAGAUGGAACUCCAAACUCUCUGAAACUUUUACAGGACAAAGUUAUUAAUUUCGCGCACCUAAACUAAUUGAGAAAUCACGAAAAAGAUUUAUAAAGAUCAUUACUUUAUACCUUGAUGUACGACCUCAUUCGCGAUUGACGUAAUUCCUUUGAUCAUUGCGGGUACGACACAUUUCCGUUUGAUAAACGGUAUUUGGACGGUCGUGUGCCGUCGACCCAUCUUUCUCCACGUAUAAUUUUAUACAUCCAUGGAACGGAAAUAUACUCAUCACGCCAGAUAGUGUAUUGUCAUUUGAUACGUUAACAAAUUCCCAUUCGCCUCCCAUUGGACAUUUCACCGUGAUGCGUAGACGGUCUUCCACUCGAUCAUAAUUAGUAACAUUGUAUAUUUCCAUCUCUAAAUCCCGAAAUGAGAUAUUGCGUCGGACCGCAACCAAUUCUUUACGGCCACCAAUAUAUCGUGGUACAUUAUUGUUCUCGACAAAAUUUCCGUCCCAAUGGAUAUAGAAAGGAACAAUGUCGCCAGAUAUAGAGUUCUAAAUUUAUAUAUUAACAUAUAAAAAAUUA
rnacentral:lncRNA from 1 species